CCGGAAGCGGAAGGCGGCGGUGAAUGGCGGCGGCGCGGGGUUGCCAUGUCCUUUAGCAGUCAAAUCCUGGCGGUUAAGCACUAAUUAAAGGUUAAUGAGAGGUUAAUUGUGAGUUCAGCGUUAAUGAAGCGCGGGGCGCUAAUUGGGGCUGACGAGCCCUGGGCCGCCCCUCCGCCCCCGCUCCGGAGCCGCCGCGGCCUCUGCACACGGGAGGGGCCACGGGACCCCUAUGAGGUGCUGGGGGUACGGCCCGAGGCGUCACCCGCUGAGAUCCGCGCAGCUUUCCUGGCCCGCUGCAAGGAGGUGCACCCGGACGGGGACCCCACGGACCCCACCCGCCACGGGCGGUUCCUGCUGCUGGCCGAGGCCUACGGGGCCCUGAGUCACGGCCACGCCCACGGCCACGCCCCGCCCACGGCCCGCCCACGAGCCACGCCCACCUACGGGGGAGCCCCGCCCCGCACGGAGACCCCCCCACGGGCUGACCCCAACCGCCGGUACUGGGACCAGUUCCGCCCCCCCAGGCCCCCCCACCCCCCCACCCACCGCCGCCGCCUGCUGGGACUCGUCCUGCUGCUGGGUGCCCUGGGGGGGGCGGCCCACGCCCUGGCCUACAGGUACGUGGCGGGGGCUCACGCCGCCUUCCUGGACGAGAGGGACCGAGUGCUGAGAGCAGCCUACGAGCGGGCCCGCAGCCGGGCGGGGUCACGGGAGGAGGUGCUGCGGCGGCUGCGGGCCUCGCGUCAGCAGGGGCGGGGAGGUGGGGGGGGGCAAUAAACCCCCUCCCCCCACCCCCCAACCUGCCCCCUCCCCCCCCCGGACACCGGGAGGACCCGAGGCGCGGGGUCCCGAUCGCCGCCUUCUGCCAGGAUUUCAACGAGCGCUCCCGGGACAUCAAGGCCGGGGUCCCGCUGCGGCCCGACCGCAGCUACGACCUGACCAUCGGGCCCCCCCCCACCUCGUACUUCCUCAAAGCCGUUGCCGGUGUCCGGAAAGGGGCGGCCCGGCCCGGGCACGAGGAGGUGGGGGUGGUGUCCCUGAAGCACCUCUACGAGGUGGCGCUGGCCAAGCAGCGGGACCCGGCGCUGGCGGCUCGAGGGACCCCCCUGCCCGCCCUGGUUGACGGCCGAGGACUGCGCCGCCUUCCAGCGCCAGCGGCGGGAGCAGGAGGCAGCCAUGGCCGAGGAGGAAGAGGAGGGGGUGAAGAAGAAGUGACCUCGCCCCCCACCCCUGCCCCCCGUUUUUGGGGGGAUCCCCCCAAUAAAAGUCUUUUUCCUUCA